GACGUAGGUGGCGACCGUUAUCCGGAAUUAUUGGGCGUAAAGGAUGCGUAGGUGGUGUAGUAAGUUAUCGGUGGUAAAUCGAGGCUCAACCUCGUGGAAGUCGGUAAUACUGUUAUGCUAGAGGAUAGGAGAGGUUAACGGAACUCCCUGUGGAGCGGUGAAAUGCGUAGAUAUAGGGAAGAACACCAAUAAAGGCGAAGGCAGUUAACUAUUCUAUUCCUGACAUUGAGGCAUGAAAGCGUGGGGAGCAAAACGG
rnacentral:rRNA from 1 species